rnacentral:rRNA from 1 species
GCCUGAUGCAGCGACGCCGCGUGAGGGAUGACGGCCUUCGGGUUGUAAACCUCUUUCAGCAGGGAAGAAGCGAAAGUGACGGUACCUGCAGAAGAAGCGCCGGCUAACUACGUGCCAGCAGCCGCGGUAAUACGUAGGGCGCAAGCGUUGUCCGGAAUUAUUGGGCGUAAAGAGCUCGUAGGCGGCUUGUCACGUCGAUUGUGAAAGCCCGAGGCUUAACCUCGGGUCUGCAGUCGAUACGGGCUAGCUAGAGUGUGGUAGGGGAGAUCGGAAUUCCUGGUGUAGCGGUGAAAUGCGCAGAUAUCAGGAGGAACACCGGUGGCGAAGGCGGAUCUCUGGGCCAUUACUGAGCUGAGGAGCGAAAGCGUGGGGAGCGAACAGGAUUAGAUACCCUGGUAGUCCACGCCGUAAACGGUGGGAACUAGGUGUUGGCGACAUUCCACGUCGUCGGUGCCGCAGCUAACGCAUUAAGUUCCCCGCCUGGGGAGUACGGCCGCAAGGCUAAAACUCAAAGGAAUUGACGG